UACCAGCACCCCGAGUUGUCGGGACGAUUAUUGGGCCUAAAGCAUCCGUAGCCUGUUCUGCAAGUCCUCCGUUAAAUCCACCUGCUUAACAGAUGGGCUGCGGAAGAUACUAUAGAGCUAGGAGGCGGGAGAGGCAAGCGGUACUCGAUGGGUAGGGGUAAAAUCCGUUGAUCCAUUGAAGACCACCAGUGGCGAAGGCGGCUUGCCGGAACGCGCUCGACGGUGAGGGAUGAAAGCUGGGGGAGCAAACCGG
rnacentral:rRNA from 1 species